rnacentral:rRNA from 1 species
CCUACGGGAGGCAGCAGUGGGGGAUAUUGCACAAUGGGGGAAACCCUGAUGCAGCAACGCCGCGUGUGGGAAGAAGGUUUUCGGAUUGUAAACCACUGUUCUUGGUGAAGAUAAUGACGGUAACCAAGGAGAAAGCUCCGGCUAACUACGUGCCAGCAGCCGCGGUAAUACGUAGGGAGCAAGCGUUGUCCGGAUUUACUGGGUGUAAAGGGUGCGUAGGCGGUCUUGCAAGUCAGACGUGAAAACCACAGGCUCAACCUGUGGACUGCGUUUGAAACUGUGGGGCUUGAGUGAAGUAGAGGUAGGCGGAAUUCGUCGUGUAGCGGUGAAAUGCUUAGAUAUGACGAAGAACCCCGAUUGCGAAGGCAGCUUGCUGCAGCGGAACUGACGCUGAUGCUCGAAAGCGCGGGUAUCGGACAGGAUUAGAUACCCUGGUAGUC